AGUUGACUGCCAGCCCACGUGGCCUGGAGGCACCUAGAGACUGGAGAGCUGUCAUCUUUGGAGGGAGGGGCUUGAAGACGGGGGCCUCCAGCCAUCAACGCUAUCGUUUGCAAUGGGAAGACUGUGUCUCCCUGCGGUCCCUCAGCCGGCUAGCCCCCAGCUGGGGAAUACAAAAGGAGAGCUCAAAGGAUGGCUACUGACAUGCAGAGGAAGAGAAGCAGCGAAUGCCUUGAUGGCACAUUGACUCCUUCUGAUGGACAGAGUAUGGAGAGAGCUGAGAGCCCCACACCAGGAAUGGCCCAGGGAAUGGAGCCAGGUGCGGGGCAGGAGGGUGCCAUGUUCGUCCAUGCCCGUUCCUACGAGGACCUGACUGAGUCAGAGGAUGGGGCAGCUUCUGGGGACAGCCACAAGGAGGGUACCAGGGGUCCCCCGCCGCUGCCUACAGACAUGCGCCAGAUCAGCCAGGACUUUAGCGAGCUAAGCACCCAGCUGACGGGUGUGGCCCGGGACCUGCAGGAGGAGAUGCUGCCAGGAAGCUCUGAGGAUUGGCUGGAACCCCCAG
rnacentral:sRNA from 1 species